UAUCUCUGUAGAGUCUGCAUAUCAAUAAGCGGAGGAAAAGAAACUAACUAAGGAUUCCCCUCAGUAACGGCGAGUGAAGCGGGAAGAGCUCAAAUUUGAAAUCUUCAAGGUUCUACCUUUACGAAUUGUAGUUUAAAGAAGUGUUUUCUGUUGAGUGUUUUGGUAAAAGUUCUUUGGAAUAGGACAUCAUAGAGGGUGAGAAUCCCGUAUUUGACCAUUACUUCCAGCGUUGUGAUACACUUUCAAAGAGUCGGAUUGUUUGGGAAUGCAGUCCAAAAUGGGUGGUAAAUUUCAUCUAAAGCUAAAUAUUGGCGAGAGACCGAUAGCGAACAAGUACCGUGAGGGAAAGAUGAAAAGAACUUUGAAAAGAGAGUUAAACAGUACGUGAAAUUGUCAAAAGGGAAGCGUUUGACACCAGUGUUGUUUUCUCGAAAAUCAAUUAAAAAAGGCAGGAUUUUGUGUUGUAUUGACUUUAUCAGCUUUCUGACACUCUUUUCUUGUCUUUUUUAAUGCACUUUUCGUUUAACAAGUCAACAUCAAUUUCUUUUGUUGUAAAAGGGUCAUUGGAAGGUGGCUUUCUUUUCGGAGAAAGUGUUUAUAGCCUUUGGCCUCUGCAAUCGGAGAGAUUGAGGUCUGCAGCGUAGAUCCUUCGGGGUUAGAUACAUUUGUGCUAAGUUAUAGCCUUUCAUAGACAACUUGUUGACUAUGAUCAGUCAUGUAGCUUACUCGCUUAUGCUAUUUUACCUACGCUUAGGAUGUUGACGAUCAGCUGAGCGCG
rnacentral:rRNA from 1 species